GCAGUGGUGGUUCAGUGGUAGAAUUCUCACCUUCUAUGCCAGAGAACCUGGGUUUGAUUCCCCGUCAAAGUA
rnacentral:tRNA from 1 species